rnacentral:rRNA from 1 species
UACGGGGGGGGCAAGCGUUGUUCGGAAUUACUGGGCGUAAAGGGCUCGUAGGCGGCCAACUAAGUCAGGCGUGAAAUCCCUCGGCUUAACCGGGGAACUGCGUCUGAUACUGGAUGGCUUGAGUUUGGGAGAGGGAUGCGGAAUUCCAGGUGUAGCGGUGAAAUGCGUAGAUAUCUGGAGGAACACCGGUGGCGAAGGCGGCAUCCUGGACCAACACUGACGCUGAGUGAGCGAAAGCCAGGGGAGCAAACGGG